rnacentral:rRNA from 1 species
AUGGAAUAUGGGAGUGGCACACUGGAGGACAUUGCAGAAUAUGACACGGUGAUCAGUCAAAUUUUUGGCAGCGAGGAAGAUGGUUACAAUUACUAUAAUGCAUAUGCUCGGUCAAAGGGUUUUGGUGUUCGAAAGGAAGAACUGACUAGGAAGUCAGACACGAACAUAGCUUUUCGGCGCCUCUAUGUCUGCUCUAAAGAAGGAUAUCGGGCGAGGAAGCACUUUGAAAAAACUAAACGGGUGCGAACUCCUAGGCCGCUGUCACGUUGUGGAUGUGGCGCUCGGAUGGAGAUCGAGCUUCGUAUGGAUAAUGGUGAAUGGUUUGUAAAAGAUUUUGUGGACGAACAUAACCAUCCACUCGCUAAGCCUGAGCAGACAACUUACAUAAGGUCACAUCGUGGGCUGAGUGACGUGCAAAAGGCUGAUGUCAUUGAAUAUGGAAUUGGUGGCCUUCGAACACAUCAAAUAAUGGAAGUAAUGGAGAAGGAUAGUGGUGGUUUCUGCAAGAUACCGGAGAGAUAUUUAUUAAGCGUCAAGCUUGGUGACCGGUGUGACUGGCGGAGGACGGAGGGAGGGACCGGCCGGCCGAGUUCUCUAGCGUCGUGGUCCCUUCCCCGUGGACAUGUCCGUUCGCUUUCGCUUGCUGUUCAUCAGGAAAAAGCAAACGAGAAGUACAAGGGACCUGCCAGGAGGCUCUCUCUCGACCGUUAA